UUAAAGUCUGACCUGCCCACUGAAAUUUUUAAAUGGCCGCAGUAUUCUAACUGUGCAAAGGUAGCAUAAUCAUUAGUCUUUUAAUUGAAGGCUGGAAUGAAUGGUUGGACGAAAUAUUAACUGUUUCAUUUUAAUUUUUUAUAGAAUUUUAUUUUUUAGUCAAAAAGCUAAAAUAAUAUUAAAAGACGAGAAGACCCUAUAAAUCUUUAUAUUUAAUUUAUUUUUAUUAUAAAGAUUAAUUUUAUUUAAAUAAAUUUAAAUAUUUUAUUGGGGUGAUAUUAAAAUUUAAAAAACUUUUAAUUUUUAAAAACAUUAAUUUAUGAGUAAUUGAUCCAGUAAUAUUGAUUAAAAAUUUAAGUUACUUUAGGGAUAACAGCGUAAUUUUUUUGGAGAGUUCAUAUCGAUAAAAAAGAUUGCGACCUCGAUGUUGGAUUAAGAUAUAAUUUUGGGUGUAGCCGUUCAAAUUUUAAGUCUGUUCGACUUUUAAAUUCUUACAUGAUCUGAGUUCAAACCGGCGUAAGCCAGGUUGGUUUCUAUCUUUAAUAAAUUGUAAUAUUUUAGUACGAAAGGACCAAAUAUUAAAAUAAUUAUAUUUUAAUAAAGAAUAUUAUUAAUUAAU
rnacentral:rRNA from 2 species